rnacentral:tRNA from 1 species
CUUUUUUCAGCCAUCUUAUU